UUUUUGUAACUCCUCCAAUUU
ensembl:piRNA 21ur-8601 ncRNA